AGGUGCUGCACGGCUGUCGUCAGCUCGUGUCGUGAGAUGUUGGGUUAAGUCCCGCAACGAGCGCAACCCUCGUCACUAGUUACUAACAGUUAGGCUGAGGACUCUAGUGAGACUGCCUUCGUAAGGAGGAGGAAGGUGAGGACGACGUCAAGUCAUCAUGGCCCUUACGGCUAGGGCAACACACGUGCUACAAUGGUUAGGACAGUGAGAAGCGAUACCGCGAGGUGGAGCCAAUCUAUAAACCUAAUCUCAGUUCGGAUUGUAGUCUGCAACUCGACUACAUGAAGCUGGAAUCACUAGUAAUCGUAGAUCAGCUAUGCUACGGUGAAUACGUUCCCGGGUCUUGUACUCACCGCCCGUCACACCAUGGGAGUUGAUUUCACCCGAAGCGGGGAAGCUAAACUGGCUACCCUCCACGGUGGAAUUAGCGACUGGGGUGAAGUCGUAACAAGGUA
rnacentral:rRNA from 1 species